CCUACGGGGGGCAGCAGUAGGGAAUCUUCCACAAUGGGCGAAAGCCUGAUGGAGCAACGCCGCGUGGGUGAAGAAGGUCUUCGGAUCGUAAAACCCUGUUGUUAGAGAAGAAAGUGCGUGAGAGUAACUGUUCACGUUUCGACGGUAUCUAACCAGAAAGCCACGGCUAACUACGUGCCAGCAGCCGCGGUAAUACGUAGGUGGCAAGCGUUAUCCGGAUUUAUUGGGCGUAAAGGGAACGCAGGCGGUCUUUUAAGUCUGAUGUGAAAGCCUUCGGCUUAACCGGAGUAGUGCAUUGGAAAGUGGGAGACUGGAGUGCAGAGGAGGGGGGUGGAACUCAGUGUGUAGGGGUGAAAUGCGUAGAUAUAUGGAAGAACACCAGUGGCGAAAGCGGCUCUAUGGUCUGUAACGGACGCUGAGGUUCGAAAGCGUGGGUAGCAAACAGGAUUAGAGACCCCUGUAGUC
rnacentral:rRNA from 1 species